UACGGAGGGUGCGAGCGUUGUCCGGAAUCAUUGGGCGUAAAGGGCGCGUAGGUGGCCUGCUAAGCGUGCGGUGAAAGUCGGGGGCUCAACCCCCGAUCGGCCGUGCGAACUGGGAGGCUUGAGCACUGUAGAGGCAGGCGGAAUUCCGGGUGUAGCGGUGGAAUGCGUAGAGAUCCGGAAGAACACCGGUGGCGAAGGCGGGCUGCUGGGCAGUUUUGCUGACACUGAGGCGCGACAGCGUGGGGAGCAAACAGG
rnacentral:rRNA from 1 species